rnacentral:lncRNA from 1 species
UACAGGCAAGGACUCUAAUCGACCCACCCGCUAGGAUUCAGGUUCAGCUGUGAGUUGGUAAGCUCCAUCUUAUCCUGGGGCUAUCAGAGGAUGUUUACUUUUGUUGUACAGUUUGGGUAUAGUCGGGGCCUUGUCCCAACAGUGCUUAUGUCACUCAUAGAGGCUAUUGUGGACACAAUAUUCUGGGUUUUCUUUUUGUAUGUUUCAACCUCCAG